AGAGACGCUGGCGGCGUGCCUCAAACAUGCAAGUCGAGCGAGGUGAAACCGAACCGCAAGGUGAGGUUGAACCUAGCGGCGAACGGGUGAGUAACACGUGGGUAACCUGCCUGGAAGAUCGGGAUAACGGCUCGAAAGAGUCGCUAAUACCGGAUAAUGUCCUGGUGCUGCAUGGCACCGGGAAGAAGGGAAACCGCUUUCAGACUCGGCCCGCGCCCAUCAGCUAGUUGGUAAGGUAACGGCUUACCAAGGCGACGACGGGUAGCCGGUCUGAGAGGACGAUCGGCCACACUGGGACUGAGAUACGGCCCAGACUCCUACGGGAGGCAGCAGUUGGGAAUCUUAGGCAAUGGGCGAAAGCCUGACCUAGCGACGCCGCGUGAGGGAAGAAGGCCUUCGGGUCGUAAACCUCUGUCAUGGGGGACGAAGAAAGUGACGGUACCCCAGGAGGAAGCCCCUGCUAACUACGUG
rnacentral:rRNA from 1 species